ACCCCGGGCCUGCAGUCGAUACGGGCAGACUAGAGUGCGGUAGGGGAGACUGGAAUUCCUGGUGUAGCGGUGAAAUGCGUAGAUAUCAGGAGGAACACCGGUGGCGAAGGCGGGUCUCUGGGCCGUAACUGACGCUGAGGAGCGAAAGCGUGGGGAGCGAACAGGAUUAGAUACCCUGGUAGUCCACGCCGUAAACGUUGGGCGCUAGGUGUCGGGGACCUUCCACGUCCUCGGUGCCGCAGCUAACGCAUUAAGCGCCCCGCCUGGGGAGUACGGCCGCAAGGCUAAAACUCAAAGGAAUUGACGGGGGCCCGCACAAGCGGCGGAGCAUGUGGCUUAAUUCGACGCAACGCGAAGAACCUUACCAGGGUUUGACAUGCAGGGAAAUCCCAUAGAGAUAUGGGGUCCGCAGG
rnacentral:rRNA from 1 species